rnacentral:rRNA from 1 species
GACGUAGGGCGCGAGCGUUGUCCGGAUUUAUUGGGCGUAAAGAGCUCGUAGGCGGCUUGUCGCGUCGUCCGUGAAAACUUGGGGCUCAACCCCAAGCUUGCGGUCGAUACGGGCAGGCUAGAGUUCGGUAGGGGAGACUGGAAUUCCUGGUGUAGCGGUGAAAUGCGCAGAUAUCAGGAGGAACACCGGUGGCGAAGGCGGGUCUCUGGGCCGAUACUGACGCUGAGACGCGAAAGCCAGGGGAGCGAACGGG